CAACCUCAACUCAUAUGGGACUACCCCCUGAAUUUAAGCAUAUUAAUUAGGGGAGGAAAAGAAACUAACAAGGAUUUUCUUAGUAGCGGCGAGCGAAAAGAAAACAGUUCAGCACUAAGUCACUUUGUCUAUAUGGCAAAUGUGAGAUGCAGUGUAUGGAGCGUCAAUAUUCUAGUAUGAGAAAUUAAUGAUUUAAGUCCUUCUUAAAUGAGGCCAUUUACCCAUAGAGGGUGCCAGGCCCGUAUAACGUUAAUGAUUGCUAGAUGAUGUUUCCAUAGAGUCGUGUUGCCUGAUAGUGCAGCACUAAGUGGGUGGUAAACUCCAUCUAAAACUAAAUAUAACCAUGAGACCGAUAGUAAACAAGUACCGUGAGGGAAAGUUGAAAAGAACUCUGAAUAGAGAGUUAAACAGUACGUGAAACUGCUUAGAGGUUAAGCCCGAUGAACCUGAAUAUCCGUUAUGGAAAAUUCAUCAUUAAAAUUGUAAUAUUUAAAUAAUAUUAUUAAGAAUAAUGUGCAUUUUUUCCAUAUAAGGACAUUGUAAUCUAUUAGCAUAUCCCAAAUUUAUCAUAAAAUAUAACUUAUAGUUUAUUCCAAUUAAAUUGCUUGCAUUUUAACACAGAAUAAAUGUUAUUAAUUUGAUAAAGUGCUGAUAGAUUUAUAUUAUUACAGAGCGUUAAUUUUUCGGAAUUAUAUAAUGGCAUAAUUAUCAUUGAUUUUUGUGUUUAUUAUAUGCUCUUGUAUGAUUAACAAUGCGAAAGAUUCAGGAUACCUUCGGGACCCGUCUUGAAACACGGACCAAGGAGUCUAACAUAUGUGCAAGUUAUUGGGAUGUAAACCUAAUAGCGUAAUUAACUUGACUAAUAAUGGGAUUAGUUUUUUAGCUAUUUAUAGCUAAUUAACACAAUCCCGGGGCGUUUCUAUAUAGUUAUGUAUAAUGUAUAUUUAUAUUAUUUAUGCCUCUAACUGGAACGUACCUUGAGCAUAUAUGCUGUGACCCGAAAGAUGGUGAACUAUACUUGAUCAGGUUGAAGUCAGGGGAAACCCUGAUGGAAGACCGAAACAGUUCUGACGUGCAAAUCGAUUGUCAGAAUUGAGUAUAGGGGCGAAAGACCAAUCGAACCAUCUAGUAGCUGGUUCCUUCCGAAGUUUCCCUCAGGAUAGCUGGUGCAUUUUAAUAUUAUAUAAAAUAAUCUUAUCUGGUAAAGCGAAUGAUUAGAGGCCUUAGGGUCGAAACGAUCUUAACCUAUUCUCAAACUUUAAAUGGGUAAGAACCUUAACUUUCUUGAUAUGAAGUUCAAGGUUAUGAUAUAAUGUGCCCAGUGGGCCACUUUUGGUAAGCAGAACUGGCGCUGUGGA
rnacentral:ncRNA from 1 species